GAGAACAAUCUGGAUGUCAAACGACCUCUGUGUAAAACGCGCAAAUAUAGGAGACGCAUGCGCUGAAUAAGGGUUGAAAGAAGAAACACUGUUAAAAGAGGGUUUUGCAUUGGCGAAAAAAGAUGUAUGGAAAAAAGCACGCGUAAAUAACAAAAGAAAUCCUUACCGAAUUAUACAGCAAGGUGGAGAUUACUACACUAAUGAAGGCAAAUAAAAAAUGUGAUUUCUUUGACUUGUCCAUGUUUUUCGGGAUGGAUACAACGUUGUUUUUUAUCUAUCAUCUUUUUCAAACUUUCAAAAGGACUAACUUACCUUUACAAGCUAUACACUAAUUACCACUGAUUUGAAUAAAUAGCCUUUUGCUUCAGUAGACAAAGCAAACACCAUAAAAGAAAAUGCAUUUAGCGUUUCUCGCUAUUUACUCUAUCUAACGCGAGUCGCGUUGGCUUUCAAUCUGUCCAAAUUGGAUCAGUUGUCCCGCUUUUUAUGGGAUUUUUUUUCCAUUAUCGUCCUCUUAUAUUAGAGCUUACUGACAUCGCAUCAUAA